CUGACCCAAACUAACCAGAGAAAUAUUCCCUGGCAUCUGAUGUCAUGCUGAAAAAUAAACCUGAGGUGAGUUAUCCAUGUGGAGGCUAGGGGUGGAGAGAGGGCUGCUGCUUUGUGAAAACUGGAUGGGCAUCAGUUGGCUGGUGAUGCUCUCCCUAAUGCUGAUGAGAGCCACAAGAUGCUUAUGCCAUAAAUCCACAGAGGGAAUGAAUGCUAUCUGCAAAAUCAGAGAUGAGAUGAGAAGGUGCAAGAUGAAAAUGCUCAUUCACAGAAUUUGGCCUGCUGUUCUUCAUUAACUUCACAUAGAAACACCUCUUCUCAGGUUUCUUUUGCAUAUUGUUUUCCUAUUCAUGUAGACAAGUUAAAGCAUCUUCUAGGAACCUCACACUAGAUAAUUAAGCUUCACAGAUGUUUAAACAGAAAAGUGUUGGUCUUGUCAAAAUUUUGUUAUGCAGUUUAUUGUACAGUCUCUAAAAAUUAUCCAUGAACCAAAAAGUACAAUACAUCAAGAUAAUUAAGCAUCUAAAAUAUUUCUUCUGUUACUUGUAUUGAUCAACGAAUAAUUAUCAGAGGCCCCAAUUCUCUCCUCUAUGUGAAAAAUAUAUAAUAAUGUUCUCUCUAUGCAUACAAUUUACUUACUAAUUUUUGACCAUAGUUCUGCCUUAAAAAAGCCCAAUUUAGUCACAUUGUGAAACAAUGAGACAGAAUCUUCAAUCUUCACCUGAUAUCAAACAAUUUUUCAGAGUUAUUGCUUGAUAUUUUAUCACUCCCCUGCGAGUAUUAUUUCCUGAAAUCUUAUUCUCUCAUAAAAAAAAUAAUUGCACACUGAUAUUGCAUUUUAAAUACCCAAUACGCUUUUCAGCAUGCAUCUUAGUGAUCUGCUAUACAUUCAAGAAGUACAGAAUAGUCCAGGAAUACCCUCACUGAACUAGCUGAGUUAAGCACACUAGGGAAAACACAUGUAUUUCUGCUUAUUAUGUAAGAUUUACUGGACAAAUGACAUAAAAUUAAUGUUAAAAAUUAAUAUGAAGUUAUAUCAGUUCUUACCAGCAGAAGAUCUCUGAGUCCUUUUCUAUAGCUACAAUCCUAAUCAUUUUAUCAAAUGUACAAAACUAUUUUUUUAGCCUAUCUGUGCUUACCUGGAGCUGAUUAUCAAAUCAGAACCGGAACCUACACAGCAUGUGGUGUAACACAUCAUAACAGCUAUAAAUUAUCAACAAAACUGAUGUUGAACCACGAAGAACAGUGAAUGUGGACCUACUUUAAAAAUGGAUGUCCACGUCAUUUAUAAGUUGAGGACAAGUUCACUUGAAAGCAGUUAUCUCCAUCGGUGCACCAGUUCUUGUCUCUUGUUCUUAUCUGUUUCUUUUUCUUUUGAAAGAAGCACUCCAUGGAUUUGUGGGAAUACUAGCAGUAAAAUCUUGCUAAUCUUUUGUUGACUUUGAAGUUCAUGUGGGAAUCCAGGAUUACACCAUCUCCCCAAAAAUGAUACUUCUGAAGAUACAAGGAAAUGAUAUAGAUUUUAGGUUUUGGCUCUUGCUCAAUUAAAAAAAUGGAAAACUCUACAAACUGUUCUUUUGCAACAAAUCUGUUUUCGCUGUCAAAAUACAAGAGCAAAAACAUUCUUGCCCUGAGGAGAACACAUGACAAUAUGGGAACUUCCAUCCAAAAUUACCCCAUUUAUACACCGCGGAGCUGUAAUCCUGAUGUGUAAGUGCUGAUAUUCAGAAAUACUACUCCUUCAUGUAUUCAAGAGUAAAACUGUGCACUCCCACAGCUUGCUUCUCUCUUUCUUUCCCUUCCCACCCUUCUCACAGCAUGAAAGCAACUCUGGAGAGCGCAUCACUGUCAAGUUCUAAGAGCAACCUCAAACAAGAGGCCAAAACAUAUUGUCACAUCUGCUAUAUCUUUUUUAAAAAAAAUUAUUUAAACAGUAACUCGUGGCAUAUUUGUCUCUCCUCAGAGAUUCUUGUACUUUUUAUAACAUAUUGCUCAGUCAAGUCAUAACUUUUGUGUUUAAAGAUGACAGAACACUCAUCUUGUCCACUUGAUAGAUGAAAAGCAAUGUGUUACUUUUCUAACAAACUUCCCUUUAUGUGUUUGAACUCACCUUCAGUUAAAUGAUAUUAAGUCUGGUAAAAGAGAGAAGCAAAUGCUAUUAGUUGAUCACUUAACUUGUAAUAAAGAGAAAAAUUAUUGCCUUGCAAACAAUAAUUCUCCACUUUUCUGUACUGAAGAGAUACUGCUCUGUGAAGAAUCAUUCUUGUCUAAAUAAAAUGACCUUUAUUGAUUUAAUUUAAAACUCUUUAUUGUCUCAGCUAAAGUGGAUCGAAUGGAACUGUUACAGCUCAGAGUUUAUCACAUCAUCAGAGCAUUAAUUUCCUAGCUGACUGCAUCUUGGU
ensembl:lncRNA